rnacentral:rRNA from 1 species
GCAAGUCGAGGGGUAACAGAUGAAGAGCUUGCUCAGAUUGCUGACGACCGGCGCACGGGUGCGUAACGCGUAUACAAUCUACCUUUUACAGAGGAAUAGCCCAGAGAAAUUUGGAUUAAUACCUCAUAGUAUUAUAAAGUGGCAUCAUUUAAUAAUUAAAACUUCGGUGGUAAAAGAUGAGUAUGCGUUCUAUUAGCUAGAUGGUAAGGUAACGGCUUACCAUGGCAACGAUAGAUAGGGGUCCUGAGAGGGAGAUC